AGAGCUCACGGGGGAUGCCUUGGCGUUAAAGGCCGAUGAAGGGCGUAGUAAGGCUGCGAUAUGCCUCGGCUUGCUGUCUAACAAGCUUAGCCGGGGAUUCCCGAAUGGGGGAACCCACCCCACUUUUGUGGGGUACGCAAUAUGCGAGGUAAGCAGGGGAACUGAAACAUCUAAGUACCCUGAGGAAAGGAAAUCAACGAGACUCCCUUAGUAGUGGCGAGCGAAAAGGGAUCAGCCUAAACCAUGUUCAGUUAUCGCUGAUGUGGGGUUGCAGGGCGUGUUAUUGUGGAGUAAGAAACCGCACUUUUAGCAGAACAGGUUGGAAAACCUGACUAUAUAGGGUGAAAGUCCCGUAUGCGAAAAGGGUGCGGCUCCCAGCGCGUUCCUAAGUACGGCGAGACACGUGAAAUCUUGUCGGAAUCUGGGGAGACCACUCUCCAAGGCUAAGUACCUUUGACGACCGAUAGUGAACAAGUACCGUGAGGGAAAGGUGAAAAGCACCCCGAAAGGGGAGUGAAAUAGUACUGAAACCGUGAGCUUACAAGCCGUAGGAGCCUGUGCGUCAACAGUUGCGUCUUCGCGAUGUUUGGCCGGUCGUUUCGGCGACUGGGUAGACGUCCCGUCGGCGUUGUUGCGUGCUGGUGACUGCGUGCCUAUUGAAGAAUGAGCCAACGAGUUACUUGUCGUGGCAAGGUUAAACAGUUACGCUGUGGAGCCUCAGUGAAAGCGAGCCUGAAUAGGGCGAUUUUAGUCGCGGCGAGUAGACCCGAAACCGUGUGAUCUACCCAUGGCCAGGGUGAAUCGGAAGUAACAUUCCGUGGAAGGCCGAACCCGUUUACGCUGCAAAGUGAUGGGAUGAGCUGUGGGUAGCGGUAAAAUGCCAAACGAACACGGAGAUAGCUGGUUCUCCCCGAAAUGCAUUUAGGUGCAGCGUUGGGGGAUGCUUGACGGAGGUAGAGCACUGGAUAGGCUAGGGGGCGCGAGCUUACCGAACUUAACCAAACUCCGAAUACCGUACAAGUUACCCCGGCAGUGAGACAGCGACGGAUAAGCGCCGUUGUCGAGAGGGAAACAACCCAGACCGCAGGCUAAGGCCCCUAAAUAUGGGCUAAGUGUGAAACGAAGUGGAGUUCCUUAUACAACCAGGAGGUUGGCUUGGAGGCAGCCAUCCUUUAAAGAGUGCGUAAUAGCUCACUGGUCUAGGGGCCCUGCACGGAAAAUAUACGGGGCUAAGCCCGUUGCCGAAGCCGCGGAAUCUUGUAAUAACUGGAUUGGUAGGGGAGCGUCGUUACCACUUUGAAGUCACGCUGUAAGGCGUGGUGGAGCGGUGACGAGUGACUAUGUUGGCAUGAGUAGCGACAACGUCGGUGAGAAUCCGGCGCGCCGAAAGCUUAAGGUUUCCUACGCAACGCUGAUCGACGUAGGGUUAGUCGGUCCUAAGACGUAGCCGAAAGGUGAAGCCGAUGGACAGCUGGUUCAACAUUCCAGCACCAGGCCGGUGUUGUUUGAGCUAGAGGGGGGACGCGGAAAGAUAGACGUGGCAUGCCCAUUUGGACAUGGUGUGUUGCCGCAUGUAGGGGAGACACGGGAGUUAAAAUGCCUGUGUCGUUAACACCCGAGGUGCGUUGGAACCGUGAGGUUAGCCUUGCGGAACUGCGUUGAUUCUAAACCGCCAAGAAAAGCCCCGCUAGUGAGACUCCGAUCUGACCGUACCGCAAACCGACACAGGUAAGCAGGGGUCAAUGCCCCAAGGCGAACGAGAGAACCAUCGUUAAGGAACUCGGCAAAUUAACCCCGUAACUUCGGGAUAAGGGGUGUCUUGGACGUCCAAGGCCUUGCGCUGGACGGCGUCUGAGACCGCAGAUAACAGGCUCGAGCGACUGUUUACCAAAAACAUAGGUCCGUGCUAAAGCUAAAGCUGAUGUAUACGGGCUGACGCCUGCCCAGUGCCGGUAGGUUAAGGAAGCGGGUUCACGCCUGCGACUUAAGCCCCGGUGAACGGCGGCCGUAACAAUAACGGUCCUAAGGUAGCGAAAUUCCUUGUCACUUAAUUGGUGACCUGCACGAAAGGUGUAACGAUCUCCACGCUGUCUCAACAAUGGACUCGGUGAAAUUAUGGUGGGAGUGAGAACGCUCUCUACCCGCAGCAAGACGAAAAGACCCCGUGGAGCUUUACUAUAGCUUCGUAUUGAGUUUUGAUUAAUCAUGUGUAGGAUAGGUGGGAGACUUUGA
rnacentral:rRNA from 1 species